UGAAAGAGUGGAUGGACACUCAGAGUUGAA
rnacentral:piRNA from 1 species